rnacentral:rRNA from 1 species
GACGAAGGUGGCGAGCGUUGUUCGGAAUCACUGGGCAUAAAGCGCACGUAGGCGGUGACAUAAGUCGGGUGUGAAAUCCCUCGGCCUAACCGAGGAACUGCGCCCGAUACUGUGUUGCUUGAGGACCAGAGGGGUGCAUGGAAUUUCCGGUGGAGCGGUGAAAUGCGUUGAUAUCGGAAGGAACUCCGGCGGCGAAAGCGAUGCACUGGCUGGUUUCUGACGCUGAGGUGCGAAAGCCAGGGGAGCAAACGGG